rnacentral:misc_RNA from 1 species
AAUUCUCAACCUUUAUUAGCUUUUGCUGAUAAAUGGCUUGGACUUGGGGGUCUUUUGCCGGCUUUUACUAGUCAGCUCCCCUUAAACGCAUUAGCUGGUCACCUCUGGUGGAACCGUCUAUUGGUGUGAUAAUUAUCUACGCCGUGGACAUCUGCCCUUGGAGUGGGUGUGCUGCUUCUAACCGUCUGUUCAUUCGGACAAUACAUAUGACA